AAGAGCUUUACUGAGGCAAGCUUUCGGUCUGUUAGACCUUCAUCAAGGCAUUCUGCCAGACAGACCAACAGCUUGCCUCAGUAAAGCUCUU